rnacentral:rRNA from 1 species
GACGAACGCUGGCGGCGUGCUUAACACAUGCAAGUCGAACGGAAAGGCCCUGCUUUUGUGGGGUGCUCGAGUGGCGAACGGGUGAGUAACACGUGAGUAACCUGCCCUUGACUUUGGGAUAACUUCAGGAAACUGGGGCUAAUACCGGAUAGGAGCUCCUGCUGCAUGGUUGGGGUUGGAAAGUUUCGGCGGUGGGGGAUGGACUCGCGGCUUAUCAGCUUGUUGGUGGGGUAGUGGCUUACCAAGGCUUUGACGGGUAGCCGGCCUGAGAGGGUGACCGGCCGCAUUGGGACUGAGAUACGGCCCAGACUCCUACGGGAGGCAGCAGUGGGGAAUAUUGCACAAUGGGCGGAAGCCGGAUGCAGCAACGCCGCGUGCGGGAUGACGGCCUUCGGGUUGUAAACCGCUUUCGCCUGUGACGAAGCGUGAGUGACGGUAAUGGGUAAAGAAGCACCGGCUAACUACGUG